rnacentral:rRNA from 1 species
AGAGAGAGACAUGCGCGCAUAUCAAUAAGCGGAGGAAAAGAAAACUAACUAAGGAUUCCCCUCAGUAACGGCGAGUGAAGCGGGAAGAGCUCAAAUUUGAAAUCUUCAAAGGGUUUCUACCUUUACGAAUUGUAGUUUAAAGAAGUGUUUUUCUGUUGGAGUUUUUGGUAAAAGUUCUUUGGAAUAGGACAUCAUAGAGGGUGAGAAUCCCGUAUUUGACCAUUAUUUCCAGCUUUGUGAUACACUUUCAAAGAGUCGGAUUGUUUUGGGAAUGCAGUCCAAAAAUGGGUGGCUAAAUUUCAUCUAAAGCUAAAUACUGGCGAGAGACCGAUAGCGAACAAGUACCGUGAGGGAAAGAUGAAAAGAAACUUUGAAAAGAGAGUUAAAACAGUACGUGAAAUUGUCAAAAGGGAAGCGUUUUGACACCAGUGUUGUUUUUCUCGAAAAUCAAUUAAAAAAAGGCAGGAUUUUUGUGUUGUAUUGACUUUAUCAGCUUUCUGCACUCUUUUUCUUGUCUUUUUUUAAUGCACUUUUCGUUUAAACAAGUCAACAUCAAUUUCUUUUGUUGUAAAAGGGUCAUUGGAAGGUGGCUUUCUUUUCGGAGAAAGUGUUUUAUAGCCUUUGGCCUCUGCAAUCGGAGAGAUUGAGGUCUGCAGCGUAGAUCCUUCGGGGUUAGAUACAUUUGUGCUAAGUUAUAGCCUUUCAUAGACAACUUGUUGACUAUGAUCAGUCAUGUAGCUUACUCGCUUAUGCUAUUUUACCUACGCUUAGGAUGUUGAUGUGAUACUGCGAGC